rnacentral:tRNA from 1 species
GGGGGUAUAGGUCAUUUGGUAGAGUGUUUGUCUAGCAUACAUAAAGCCCUGGGAUCAAUCCCCAGCACCACCA